rnacentral:lncRNA from 1 species
UUAGGAGAAUGUUACUGCCCACCAUCCCCUUUCCCAUUUAUAAAGUUGAGGAAGUGGUAGAAGUGGAUACAAUGACACUGUGAAAUACCUUCUGACAUGAGAAGUUGCCGUUUGCAAAAUCCUGACCCUAAACCCUUACAUUCUAUGGCUAGAGUGAGAACAGGCGCAAUGGUUCCUCUUAUUGCUAUCCACUGCAUGCCGGCACAGCUUUGCUGGUGAGAGUUCACAGCAGCAUUUCUAUGGGGUAUAGGAAUACUGUGGCAGAGAUGGCGUUGUAUAUAGUUCCCUAUGACGUGUGUUCUGCUUACCUUAAGGGAAAGUACAAGCGUUAUGGCAUACCCUCUAAAUCCUUGGCAGUAACUUUCAGCAAAAUUGAUCCAUCUGUGCAAUGCAGGAACAACAUCUGAAAUAACUUUUUGGAAGCUGACAACCAUGUACCCAAUGCUUUAUUUAAGCAGCUUCAAUAAAAGGAGAGACUGACAAAUUGACACUCAGAGAAAUUAUAUUCAGCUAUAGAUGUGAGAAAAGCAGCUUCCUAAUGCUGCUGAGCAACUUGUAAGUGGGACUGCAGCGAAUCAGAUUACUGCUGCUUUGAAGGUCUGGGAUCUUGGAUACUGCCUAACUCUCAGCAUCUGGGAACCAGGUUGAACUGAUUUUAAAACACUUUGAAUUUUCUGCUAGGCGUGGUAGUAGUUUCUUCAUAUUGUGGACAAAUACAGAAAUUCUCUAAUGACCCUAGGAUAAAAAUUGCCUUUUCAAGCUAAGGAAAAUUAAACACACAUCAUGAAAGGCUUACUGCUUAUAACAAAGGGAAAAGCCUUGAAAAUCAUGCCUCACUGAUGUGCUAAGAUUUCAGGAGUAUCCAGUGGACUAGGGACAAGGAAGGGACUCAUUCAUUCACAUUUUAGAAAUAACUACACGCUUGCUAAUAUAAAAGCAAAACCUGGCCUACGCUAAUCUCUGAGAGAACAAUAGACACUGAGAGGGAUGGUACCCAAUGCCAUGUGUAGACGGAUAUUGAGAAGAGAAGGCUUGGAGAUAUUUAGCUCAUUAUCUUUCCUUUUCAAGUACAAUGACAGAGAAAGAACAGAAUAUAUUUAAAACAAGAG